UGAAUUGACGGGGACCCGCACAAGCGGUGGAUGAUGUGGAUUAAUUCGAUGCAACGCGAAAAACCUUACCUACCCUUGACAUGUCUGGAACCUUGCUGAGAGGCGAGGGUGCCUUCGGGAGCCAGAACACAGGUGCUGCAUGGCUGUCGUCAGCUCGUGUCGUGAGAUGUUGGGUUAAGUCCCGCAACGAGCGCAACCCUUGUCUUUAGUUGCCAGCGAUUCGGUCGGGGACUCUAGAGAUACUGCCCCGGUUAACGGGGAGGAAGGUGGGGAUGACGUCAAGUCCUCAUGGCCCUUAUGCCCAGGGCUACACACGUGCUACAAUGGGCGGUACAAAGGGUAGCGAUGCCGCGAGGUGAAGCCAAUCCCAAAAAGCCGUCCACAGUUCGGAUUGGAGUCUGCAACUCGACUCCAUGAAGCCGGAAUCGCUAGUAAUCGUGGAUCAGCAUGCCACGGUGAAUACGUUCCCGGGCCUU
rnacentral:rRNA from 1 species